UACCUACCUAUCUUGCUUGGAUUCUUGAAAAAAAACAUAGUGGUGUGUGAGCACAAGAAGCAGGAGGACCUUCAGACUGGAUCAGCCAAUCACAACUCAGGAAAUACACCUGUCAGUGCGGGGAGCACGGAGAUUGGUCAGACCACGGGAGCGACACCUGAGCUCAAAGGUGUACAUGUAAACCAAGACCCUCACAAAGUUGGUCACCCUGCUUGAAGACUUCAUGAAGACGGUGUUGCCUGUUGCUGCUUCACAAAAGGAUCUGUCCAAAAUACUUUCUCUUCUCUUUUUUUUCUUUAAGAUUUUACUGUUGUUACAAACUGUCUCUAAGACUGAGUCUUCUACGGGGCAAACCUGUCCAACUGAAACACGGAUAAGAUGAGAAACACGUCACCGACAGCACAAUGGUAGCUCUUGUCCGAGGCUAUGAAAAGCAGACAGGUGGAGAGAAGAGGAGGCCUCACAUGCUGCUUCAGAGAGCUGUGCCAUCCCACUGACGCCAGAGUUGUAAGUGCUGAUCAGACCAGGGGCUUCUCUGUAAUGGUCUCUAGCAUUGCUCCAUACUUUGUAUAAAUCUAAUUUUAGCGCAUACUGCUUAAUGAAUUGUGCCUGUCUAGAUAGCAAAAAAAAAGAUGCAAAGCAACAGAAUUAAUGUUAUAUUCUACAUUAUGAGCUUUAAAGCUUUUCACU